UACGGGGGGGGCAAGCGUUGUUCGGAAUUACUGGGCGUAAAGGGCUCGUAGGCGGCCAACUAAGUCGGAUGUGAAAUCCCCAGGCUCAACCUGGGAACUGCAUCCGAUACUGGAUGGCUUGAAUUCGGGAGAGGGAUGCAGAAUUCCAGGUGUAGCGGUGAAAUGCGUAGAUAUCGAGAGGAACACCUGCGGCGAAGGCGGGUUGCUGGGCUGACACUGACGCUGAUGCGCGAAAGCUAGGGGAGCGAACGGG
rnacentral:rRNA from 1 species